UUUUAUUUGAGAGUUUGAUCCUGGCUCAGGAUGAACGCUGGCGGCGUGCCUAACACAUGCAAGUUGAGCGAUUUACUUCGGUAAAGAGCGGCGGACGGGUGAGUAACGCGUGGGUAACCUACCCUGUACACACGGAUAACAUACCGAAAGGUAUGCUAAUACGGGAUAAUAUAUUUGAGAGGCAUCUCUUGAAUAUCAAAGGUGAGCCAGUACAGGAUGGACCCGCGUCUGAUUAGCUAGUUGGUAAGGUAACGGCUUACCAAGGCGACGAUCAGUAGCCGACCUGAGAGGGUGAUCGGCCACAUUGGAACUGAGACACGGUCCAAACUCCUACGGGAGGCAGCAGUGGGGAAUAUUGCACAAUGGGCGAAAGCCUGAUGCAGCAACGCCGCGUGAGUGAUGAAGGCCUUCGGGUCGUAAAACUCUGUCCUCAAAGGAGAAUGUGGUGCGGGGAGCCCCACGGCUAACUACGUGCCAGCAGCCACUUGGUAAUACGUAGGGGCUAGCGUUAUCAGUUUACUGGGCGUAAAAGGGUGCGUAGGCGGUCUUUCAAGUCAGGGUGAAAGGCUACGGCUCAGCCGUAGUAAGCUCUCGCGAAGCAGAGGAGACUUGAGUGCAGAGGAAGGAGAGUGGAAUUCCUAGUGUAGCGGUGAGAAAUGCGUAGAUAUUAGGAGGAACACCAGUUGCAAGAGGCGGCUCUCUGGACUGGCGUGGGCUGAAAGCGUGGGGAGUAAACAGGAUUAGAUACCCUGGUGAGUCCACGCUGUAAACGAUAGUAUUACUGGUGUGGGGUUACCAUGGACUGCCACCAGCAUUAGAGUACUCGCCUGAGGAAAUUCAUGAGUGAAACCAGGAAUUGACGAGGCCGCACAAGUAGCAGAGCAUGUGGUUUAAUUCGAAGCAACGCGAAAAGAACCUUACCUAAAGCGACAUCUGUGGUAUCUCCUUAAUCGGAGAGUUCCCUUCCGGGGACAUUGGUGACAGGUGGUGCAUGGUUGUCGAUCCUAUUGUCCGUGAAGAUGUUGGGUUAAGUCACAUAACAGGCACCAGCCCUUCAAUCUUUUAGUUCAUCAUUAAGUUGGGCAUAGAGACGCAGGGAUAACCUGGAGGAAGGUGGGGAUGACGUCAAAUCAUCAUGCCCUUGUGGUAGACUACACACGUGCUACAAUGGGCAGGCUGCCAAGCCAAGCCAGGAGUGGGCUAAUCCCUUAAAGAAGCUAUAGGUUCCCGGUUGUGGCUGAAACUCGCCUACAUGAAGCUGGAGUUACUAGUAAUCGCAGAUCAGAAUGCUGCAGUGAAUGCGUUCGGGUCUGUACACCGCCGUCACACCACGAGGAGUUGGAGACGCCAAGUGAUUAUCUAACUUGCUUGGAAGUACGUCAGGUGGGAAUCAAUAACUGGGGGUGAAGUCGUAACAAGGUAGCCGUAUCCCGGAAGGUGCGGCUGGAUCACCCUCCUUUCUA
rnacentral:rRNA from 1 species